rnacentral:rRNA from 1 species
UACGAAGGGGGCUAGCGUUGCUCGGAAUUACUGGGCGUAAAGGGCGCGUAGGCGGCCGUUUGCGUCGGAUGUGAAAGCCCGGGGCUCAACCUCGGAACGGCAUUCGAUACGGGACGGCUGGAGACCGGGAGAGGAGAGUGGAAUAGCCAGUGUAGAGGUGAAAUUCGUAGAUAUUGGCUGGAACACCGGUGGCGAAAGCGGCUCUCUGGCCCGGUUCUGACGCUGAGGCGCGAAAGCGUGGGGAGCAAACAGG